rnacentral:rRNA from 1 species
GAGUGGCGAACGGGUGAGUAACACGUGGGUAACCUGCCCAUCAGAAGGGGAUAACACUUGGAAACAGGUGCUAAUACCGUAUAACACUAUUUUCCGCAUGGAAGAAAGUUGAAAGGCGCUUUUGCGUCACUGAUGGAUGGACCCGCGGUGCAUUAGCUAGUUGGUGAGGUAACGGCUCACCAAGGCCACGAUGCAUAGCCGACCUGAGAGGGUGAUCGGCCACACUGGGACUGAGACACGGCCCAGACUCCUACGGGAGGCAGCAGUAGGGAAUCUUCGGCAAUGGACGAAAGUCUGACCGAGCAACGCCGCGUGAGUGAAGAAGGUUUUCGGAUCGUAAAACUCUGUUGUUAGAGAAGAACAAGGAUGAGAGUAGAACGUUCAUCCCUUGACGGUAUCUAACCAGAAAGCCACGGCUAACUACGUGCCAGCAGCCGCGGUAAUACGUAGGUGGCAAGCGUUGUCCGGAUUUAUUGGGCGUAGAGCGAGCGCAGGCGGUUUCUUAAGUCUGAUGUGAAAGCCCCCGGCUCAACCGGGGAGGGUCAUUGGAAACUGGGAGACUUGAGUGCAGAAGAGGAGAGUGGAAUUCCAUGUGUAGCGGUGAAAUGCGUAGAUAUAUGGAGGAACACCAGUGGCGAAGGCGGCUCUCUGGUCUGUAACUGACGCUGAGGCUCGAAAGCGUGGGGAGCGAACAGGAUUAGAUACCCUGGUAGUCCACGCCGUAAACGAUGAGUGAUAAGUGUUGGAGGGUUUCCGCCCUUCAGU